rnacentral:rRNA from 1 species
GUCGAGAAUCUUUCACAAUGGGGGCAACCCUGAUGGAGCGACGCCGCGUGGAGGAUAAGGUCUUCGGAUUGUAAACUCCUGUCAUGCGUGAACAAGGUUGCUUGGUUAAUACCUGGGCAAAUUGAUGGUAACGCAAGAGGAAGAGACGGCUAACUCUGUGCCAGCAGCCGCGGUAAUACAGAGGUCUCAAGCGUUGUUCGGAAUCACUGGGCGUAAAGGGUGCGUAGGUGGCGUGGUAAGUCAGAUGUGAAAGCCCGGGGCUCAACCUCGGAACUGCAUCCGAUACUGCCAUGCUAGAGUACUGGAGAGGUGACUAGAAUUCUCGGUGUAUCAGUGAAAUGCGUAGAUAUCGAGAGGAAUACCAAAGGCGUAGGCAGGUCACUGGACAGUUACUGACACUGAGGCACGAAGGCCAGGGGAGCGAACGGGAUUAGAUACCCUUGUAGUCC